GGGAGUUUUCCCACCGACCAGGCGGACAGGAGCACCUCGCCCCCCGGCUCCAUGGCGUCAGCACCACCACCACCUCGUUGCCUCCGCUUCCACCGCUAGCCCUCCUCACCCGCCACAAUCACCGACACACCGAUGGCGACGACGCAGGCGGUCGCGGCCGCCACAAUCACCGGCCCCAAAAUGUCGGCGAUGAGGGGUGCCGCGUCGUUCCCCUUCAGCCCCCGCAAUCUGAUCCUCUCCUCCUCGCCGUCCUUCUCUCCGCGCUUGGCCUUCUUGUCUCCUCGAGUCCCUCGCCUCGCCAUGCGCUCUAAACGAAUUGCGAUGGACAAAAGGUCUGAUGUGAUGCCCAGAAGGCGCCAUGGAGGUGUUGUUGCGGUAGCAUCUGCGGCAGGGAGCCCGGAGUUUGGCGCUGGGGAGAUUGACAACCCAUAUGAGAUUUUGGGGAUCAGUCGGCUUGAUGGGUUCGACCGGGUGAAGAUGGUUUUCAAGAGGAAGCGAAAGGAUGCAGAGAGCACCUGCGAUCGGGAGUACCUGCUGAAAUUGGAGAGGGCUUACGAUAUGCUAAUGAUGGAUCAGCUGCUGAAUCAGAAGAAAGGGGUGACAUAUACGUCGAGCCAGUUUCAAAGGAUAUCAGAUAUGCUGAUUAUCAACCAAUAGUUCCUUGGGGACCUAGAUACUCAAGAUCCACUGUAAAGGACCUGCGCAUAAAUAUGGCAAUAUCAGCGGCGUUUAAAAGCAUUACCUUGAAAAGAACUUAAAGGAAAGCAAUUCAAACUUCAGUACUACUUGGAGUAUCUUAUCAUUUUACCGGACAUAUAUAUGGUUUCUGCACUUGUAGCUAGAUCAUGUGUAUAUCUACUCUGGGACAUGCAGAUUGGAAGCCCUUACAGUUCCUGUGUUUCGCAUAUUUCUACAGAAUACUGGAGAAGCUGAAGGUUACAGAACCAGCUAUUGCUCCCAUAUAUAAUAGCUUUGCCAUACAAAAUCUCACCACCAGUGUGGUGGCAAAAGACAUUGCCAAACUGCCAGCUGCUGCAACUGCAAGACUCUCUUCAGGAUCUGGUGUCUUGUUUUGCUUCUCUCUCUGCAUAUGGUGAGGUCGAAGGUCCGGGUAUACAUAUGGCAGGACGAGUGCUACGUAGUUUGGGUUUGGUGCUUGGAUCAAUACUUGCCGCAUCCCUGGGCUAUACUGGGCUUGCGAAUUUUUCACAGUUCCUUGGAGAAUAUAUCCCAUCUGUUGUUUACAAUUUUCAGGUAUGAUAUGACUUGUAUUCUGCUGCAUAUCAAAUGCUGCAUCGUAUGGAUCAACAAGCAUGCUCUGUAUUCUUAGAUACCACUCUCUGACUAUUCCUUUUUGGACAGUUUGUUGGUAGUUUAGCAGGAACUAUAAACUGUCAACUUUUCAAUCUUUUUACUGACACAGAAAGGCCACUACUAUAAGUGGAUGCUGCUUUUCCAGUGGAAAACAAGUCAUGGAUCAUUGCAAAAUGAAUCCUGGUGCUGCUUUCAGUUGUCAUAUGCUGCUUUCAGGAACAGUAAAACUAAUUCGCAGUAUCUCAUUCCAGGAGUUGAUUGUGACUACAGCUUCAUCCAUUCUGCUUUGCAUCUUAGCUUCAUACUACCGAUAGCAAUUGGUGCCGGACUUGAAAAGACAUGCUUGAUAAAUGACACCAGCCUAUCCACCCCAGAUCUGGAAAAUUUUGCAG